GUGUUUGUGAUUUCAAGUGCAAUGAAACUUUUGGUUUUAUCGUUUAUCAUGGUCGCCGUGCAUGGCAUGUUUGCACAGAUACCGACGCAGAAUAUCUUGAGGUGUCGCUUAUGCAACAAUGCCAGGACAUUAUCCGACUGUUCCACGC